ensembl:snoRNA
GCACCUGAAUCUUUCCUAUUCCUUGCUGUGCAGUGCUGGUCUAGGGACAGUUGGUGCUAUAGCACAGCAGUAGAAAUCCAGAUGGGUUAAUUUCCACUUGCUUGGAACUCAUCUCUACAGCUCUGCAACAUUU